AUGAGACUGUCCCGACUAAAGCUAGUCAAUAUCAAAAUCGUCGACGGUUCUUGAGGUCAUUUUAUCCACGAAAUCCAGCGCUGUUCCUUCCAUUGGCACUGGCAGGAAAUAAUAGGUAGAGGAGAACGAAAUGCCUCCAGCAAUGGCGAGGCCACCCGCCGGCGAACGGAAUAAAUCGACAUCCAGCUAUGGUCCUUGGUUCGGUUUUUUUAUUUUAUACGCUU